AUACGAAAAUGCCUUGGCCAGCAGGUUUUCUAUGAGGAUGUUAACAUGGAUACUGCAGAAAAAAAGAAAAAAGAAUCAGACAACUAUGUAAUUGGACUACU